UAUAGGAUAUGGAAUGCAAGAGAGAGGAGACCCUCCAAGCAGAGGAAAUAGCAGAAGCAACCAACCCUGUGAAGAAUAGAGAAGAUCCUACAACCAAGAGGAGGACUUCAAACUGGGAAGGAGCAGGAAGCUGUGUCUUACUGUCGCUAUUGUCCCAGCACCCGGCAUAGUGCCACACACAGGACAGAUGGGUCCUGAAGUCUCCCAGGCCAGUGCUGUCCUGAACUGGAGGAGGCAGUAGAGGGGAAAAGAUUCAAGGAAGCAUAUUGUACUCAUUCAGGAAUUCAGGACUAUGGCUGCUGUGUUGAUUGCACUGAAGAUGGGCUGAGCUAGUCAACUGCUAAGGCUUACAGCGAAGGAGAACCAGUGAGCCCCUGAUGAGUACCUAGCAUGAUGCUGGGAAUAUUAAAGUGUUAACCCCUAGACCCCUGCAUGUCUUCUUCCUGAACAUGAAUCAUAUGGAGGUUGGUCCAUGGUUUCUUCCAUAAGAUCAUGUGUGUUCCAUGGGGCAGGAUUCCACCCAGCUUGCCCAGCUCUACAUUCAGCUGUUGGUAGAGGCUCUGGCACUCAGCAUCAACUGACAUUGAGACACUUCAGCUCAUUCCACCACAACA